GUGUCUGGUGGGUAGUUUGACUGGGGCGGUCUCCUCCUAAAGAGUAACGGAGGAGCACGAAGGUUGGCUAAUCCUGGUCGGACAUCAGGAGGUUAGUGCAAUGGCAUAAGCCAGCUUGACUGCGAGCGUGACGGCGCGAGCAGGUGCGAAAGCAGGUCAUAGUGAUCCGGUGGUUCUGAAUGGAAGGGCCAUCGCUCAACGGAUAAAAGGUACUCCGGGGAUAACAGGCUGAUACCGCCCAAGAGUUCAUAUCGACGGCGGUGUUUGGCACCUCGAUGUCGGCUCAUCACAUCCUGGGGCUGAAGUAGGUCCCAAGGGUAUGGCUGUUCGCCAUUUAAAGUGGUACGCGAGCUGGGUUUAGAACGUCGUGAGACAGUUCGGUCCCUAUCUGCCGUGGGCGCUGGAGAACUGAGGGGGGCUGCUCCUAGUACGAGAGGACCGGAGUGGACGCAUCACUGGUGUUCGGGUUGUCAUGCCAAUGGCACUGCCCGGUAGCUAAAUGCGGAAGAGAUAAGUGCUGAAAGCAUCUAAGCACGAAACUUGCCCCGAGAUGAGUUCUCCCUGAGACUUUAGGUCUCCUGAAGGAACGUUGAAGACGACGACGUUGAUAGGCCGGGUGUGUAAGCGCAGCGAUGCGUUGAGCUAACCGGUACUAAUGAACCGUGAGGCUUAACCUUACA
rnacentral:rRNA from 1 species